rnacentral:rRNA from 1 species
GAUGAACGCUGGCGGCGUGCCUAAUACAUGCAAGUCGAACGGGGAGUCGCAAUCCUCUUAGUGGCGAACGGGUGAGUAACGCGUUGGUACCUGCCCCGAAGCGGGGGAUAACGGACCGAAAGGUCCGCUAAUACCCCAUGUGCUCGGUAACGAGUAAAGGUGAAAACCACUUUGGGAGGGGCAUGCGUCCCAUCACCUAGUUGGUAAGGUAACGGCUUACCAAGGCGAUGACGGGUAGGGGACCUGAGAGGGUGGCCCCCCACUAUGGAACUGAAACACGGUCCAUAAACCUACGGAUGGCAGCAGUAGGGAAUAUUGGAAAUGGGCGCAGGCCUGAACCAGCAACGCCGCGUGUGCGAGGACGGCCGUCGGGUUGUAAAGCACUUUUGACUGGGACGAGGAAGGACGGUACCGGUCGAAUCAGCCUCGGCUAACUACGUG